GACGAACCAAGCAAACGUUGUUCGGAAUCACUGGGCUUAAAGGGCGCGUAGGCGGGCGACCAAGUCGGGGGUGAAAUCUUUCGGCUCAACCGGAAAAUAGCCUUCGAUACUGGCCGCCUGGAGGGAGGUAGGGGCGUGUGGAACUUCCGGUGGAGCGGUGAAAUGCGUUGAUAUCGGAAGGAACUCCGGUGGCGAAAGCGACACGCUGGAUCUCAUCUGACGCUGAGGCGCGAAAGCCAGGGGAGCGAACGGG
rnacentral:rRNA from 1 species